CCUACGGGGGCUGCAGUGGGGAAUAUUGGACAAUGGGCGAAAGCCUGAUCCAGCCAUGCCGCGUGUGUGAAGAAGGCCUUCGGGUUGUAAAGCACUUUCAGUGGGGAAGAAAGCCUUGGGGCUAAUACCCUCGAGGAAGGACAUCACCCACAGAAGAAGCACCGGCUAACUCCGUGCCAGCAGCCGCAGGUAAUACGGAGGGUGCGAGCGUUAAUCGGAAUUACUGGGCGUAAAGCGCGCGUAGGCGGUCUGAUAAGCCGGUUGUGAAAGCCCCGGGCUCAACCUGGGAACGGCAUCCGGAACUGUCAGGCUAGAGUGCAGGAGAGGAAGGUAGAAUUCCCGGUGUAGCGGUGAAAUGCGUAGAGAUCGGGAGGAAUACCAGUGGCGAAGGCGGCCUUCUGGACUGACACUGACGCUGAGGUGCGAAAGCGUGGGUAGCAAACAGGAUUAGAUACCCCGGUAGUC
rnacentral:rRNA from 1 species